CGGACGCGGCAGCGCGGCAGCGCGGCGACACCUGCUGGAAGCCGUGCCUCGGAGGACUACGUGGGGAGAGCUGCCCGGAGGACAAGCCCAGCUCUGAGCUGAGCCAGAAGCUAGCGCCCUGUGAUUCCACAAGGAAAGGAUAAUGCUAUGUAACAAUGGCCUUUGACGAGUUACGGUGGUGAGAUGAGGGUUCUACUGGGGGCUGUGAUACCCUGAGGAGAAAGCUGUCCCUCUGCGCACAGGUGUGCCCUUGACCAGCAUGCCCUCCAGCCAAGGGUGCCAGCCGGGUGACUGAAACCAACUGCAAGGUCUUCCAGACUUUCCCACCAGAUCUUGUUACUGGCAGCAGCCGCCAGGCAUCCAGUCUGCUUUGCCUCAUGUAUGUCUGGGUAGGAGUGGAGACAAGGGGGAAACAUAUUAACCAAGCCCCUUCUCUCUAAGCACACACUUACACAUCUUUUCAUUUUGAGGAACUGACUCAAACCCUGUCCGGAACUGCAAGAAAAGUAGCUGAGGGCAGAAGCAGUGACAGCAGUGGUUCUCACAGGGUGAUGUCAUGAUCACCAACAGUAUUAGCAUCGCUUGGGGAUUUAGAAGUGCACAACCUAGGGUCCUUUUCCUGACCUACUAAGUCAGAAACUCUGGAGCAGGACCCAGCAAUGUUUUAACAAGUCUUCCAGGUGAUUCUGAUGACACUCAGCAUGGAGUACCACCGACCUAGAGCUUCAGCUGCUGUCUCCCUCUUUCUUCUUCUUCCUUCUACUUAUGUCCCCCCCCCGCCUCCUGUCCCUCCUCCUCCUCCUUCUAUUCUCCCCCUUUCUCUUUCUCUCUCUCCCUCCUCUCUGUCUUUCCCCUUCCCUUUUAAGAAAAAGGGACCAGCUAGGCGUUCCAAGUUAUACACACGUGAGCCCAGUUGUCUCAGAGAACCGGGAAAGGGAUUUAGCGUUUUUCUCUCCGUGGAACUUAGGAAUUGCAAAGUGCUUUUUUUAACAGGUAGAAAUUAGAUAAUCAGGCUUAGUAAACCUGAUUAGAAGCCCAGAUGGCUUUACAAGUCUCAGUCUUUUUAAGCACAAAAAUCCUACGGGAAAGAAGCUGAAUGAUUUACCCCUGACACAGGAAGCUACCCUGACAGCUCCAGCCUGAAGAACUGACAGGGCCUGAGGAUGGAUUGCUUUGCUCAGGUGAGGCCUUUUCCCAUUCUUCUUUAAGAUUUAGAACAGAGGAUUUCCCUCUGGGGAACUUAAGUGUUUGCAGUGUGGCCCUCUGACUCCUGGGUUGGAAUUUACCUGUCUAUAAUUCUCUGGGGAAAACUGGAACCCACGUGAGUGCAUAAGCCCGUGUCUGCCCCCGCAAUCUGGGAAGGGGUAUAGGGGUCCUCCCGCCAACUGUCCGUCCAGAGGACUUGCUGUGAACUGAGCCCAAAGGUGUACGUUCAAGGAGCUUUGAGCUGUCAGCCUUCUAUCAUCUGGUCCCUCUUGCCAGGUUUACAGGCACAGCAUAAGUGCUGAGAUACUGCGCUGUCCAUGAGGAGCUGCCAUCUGAAGGAGACAGACACAAGAGCAGAUCGUUGUAAUGUGACAAAAUAUGUUUUUUUUUUCUUUUGUUUUUUGUUUGUUUUUUAUGGGGGGGUGCAACUAGAUUUAUUUAUUUAUUUUUAAUGGAGGUACUGGGGAUUGAAUCCAGGUGCCCACCCACUGAACUAAACCUUUUCCCCUACAAGACAUGUUUUAAUAUGUGUGAUGAUAUGGAGGGUUUCUGGAGACAGAAAGAGGAAGUAAACUUGCUGGGCCUGGAAGGAUUUGAUAAAGCUUCACAGAGAAGGUGACAUUUAAGCAGAAGCUUGCACGAUGGGUAGGAGUUUGCUGGUGAAUUAAGGCACCCCCAUCCCUGGGAACAGCAUGUGCAAAGGGACAGAGGCAUGAAACCGCUGGUGUGCUGGGACAUGAGAAGGGCCACAUGCUGGGGAGGGGGACACUGGGUGGCUAAUUAGGGCCAGGGGGCAAAGGUGGUGUGCAUCUUACCAGCAAGUUUGAACUAUGCUCUAUAGGCAUUAAUGAAACCCCUUAAAAAACCAAGUUCCUGUGCAGAGUUUAUGAUUAACCUCUCUAUCCAAAACUGUAUUCCCUGGCUUGUCUCUUCUGACCUCAAUCCUGUGCUCACAGUGUUCCAUCACUAACACGCAGGGCAAGCAUACAACGAGAGUUAGAGGACUAAAGUUGCUGCUGUUGAUAGCAUCGAUAAUGUACAGACUCAGGUUGUUCCUCCAGGGUAAGAUGACCUCACAGACAAGACUCAUAAACUGUAGGCAUCCUGACUCCCAAAACUACAAUUAAGAAAUGUCACAAAUUAACCCUGGCUUCUUUGUUCUUCCCCUUUAGAACAUCUCCAACUCAGACCAAGUUGGAGUGGACCUGAGGUUUGUCUCCCACUCCCUUGCUUGGCACCCUGCAAUAAGUCCUUGCUUUGCUGCAAACACCUGCUG